rnacentral:rRNA from 1 species
UGAGUAACGGCGAGCGAAAAGGGAAGAGUCCAUCGCCGAAUCCCGCUCUCUUUUUGGGAGUCGGGAAAUGUGGCGUUUGGGAGUGAGCGUACCGGAGGCAGUCCAGGCAGCAAGUCCCCCUGACCGGGGCUCUUUCCCAUAGGGGGUGCGAGGCCCAUAGCUGCCAGGGCUCUUCCGGAUGCGAUCUCCUUGGAGUCGGGUUGCUUGGGAGUGCAGCCCUAAUCGGGUGGUAAACUCCACCUAAGACUAAAUACCGCCGUGAGACCGAUAGCAAACGAGUACCGUGAGGGAAAGUUGCAAAGAACUUUGAAGAGAGAGUUCAAGAGUACGUGAAACUGUUCAGAGGAAAACGGGUGGGCCCUCGAAAUCCUGUGGCGGAAGGAUUCAGUCUAGAGGUCCGGAGGCUCUCGCASCGGCUCGAUCAGUAACGGAACCCGAAGCCGGGCCUCCGCUGCACCAGCCCUUCCGGACCUACAGACGCAUUUCUUUUCCGUCCGAAGGACGUCGCAACGGGUUUGGACGUCGGCCAUGAGGCGCUCCGACGGGCAGGUGGCCGGUGACUUUUCGUUUCGGAGAGUUGCCGGUUGUUAGCCUGGAGCUCCGGGUCGGAACCAGACCCUGGUGUCACGAGGCCCGAGACUGGGCCUCUCCGUCUCCUCCUUUAAACGGGUGCGAGUCCAGCGCUGGCAGGUGAGGUCCCGUAGAGGCGAGCGCAUGCUGUUUUGCAUGGCUAGCAGUCCGGGAUCCCCUUUCGCUGCGCUGGAUCCUCGUAGGAGUGC